GGCUCCUGGUGGUUCUCAGCUGACUCUCUUUCUAGGAAUUGACUUUAGUGGAAGGAAGCAGCCUCACUCAGGAUCACGUCCCUUCCCCAAGGGCAGCCUGUGAUUGGGCAAUGCUAGGUACAAAAGCCUGGCCCCAUGUCUCAGAAUGGGACAGCUCUGAAUGGCUAGCUUAGCUCCAGAGCCCCUGUGGGGAUGGGCUGAAGCUUUUAUGUGACUGGAUCACAGUUCAGCUUCUCCCUCUGCCCAGUCCUGCUUCCUUCACUCCUUCAGGUGUUGAUCCUGAGAGCAUCGUUCAAUAAACUUCCUGUGUGUGAAUUUCUAUCUCAAUUUCUGUUUCCAGGAACCUGAUCAACAUAGCCGUCUGGAAGCAAUGUCUAAACCACCCAUCAGUGGUCCCACAAGUGGUGUUUGGUACUGGAGCAGCCAGUAUAUUCUAGAGCAGCCUCAUAUUCUGGUGAUUUCCUUCUCUGGGGACCAUGGCCAUGGACUUAACAAUGAAGAUGGUUGAGUUGAGAGCAAACAGCUAAAGAAUGAUAGGGGAAAACACUUCUUCCCCACUUCUGAUGUUUCCUUCUGUGUUAAAGAAACUCAAUUUGAUUUCCGGCCUCUCUGCUCCAGGAGAGGUAGAGUGACUUCUCUGAUCUGGAGCUGUGGGAAGAACAAACUGGGCAUGACUGAAUCACAUUCACCCUUCCUCCUCUUGGGGAUGAGCUGCCCUCAGGAAGCAGGUGUUCCUCUUGGUUCUUCUAGGGGAAGGCUUGACCCAUCAAACCCAACUGCCUGCAUCAGGUUGGAGAGGAGAAAACUGAAGUGGAGAGCAGUUAAGGAACAUGCUUGGGGUCCCGUGACCACUGAGUGGAUGAGUCAGAAGUCAACCCCUGCAUUAUCUGCCUCUGGGAGCUCAGCCCUGAGCACGUGGCUACCUGCAGCAAAGCAGAACUGCAUAGGAGCACAGAUGAGUUGAGACCAAGGAUGCUAAUUAGGCUUGGCUCCCUCAGCGUGAUAAAGCAAACUGACCAAUCUACUCUUUGGAAGCAGAAGAUGGGAAAGAGGCCACUUCUGAGAUGACUGUGCACCCAGAGACAGACUCUUGUUUCAUGUAACUUGUCUGUGAAAAUUCCUCUAGAUGAAUGCAGGAGGGAAUCUGGGCAAGUCCUAGAGCAGGAUAGAGAUGUUUGAAAAUCCUUUCAGAGUUAACUUAGACUAAGCAACGUAGAUGCCUCUCCCAUCCGCCCCAUUUCUGCAAAUUUCUGCCAAAAAAUAUGACCCUCUGUCUCACAGAAUUCUUAGUGUGCUGGAAGACUCCAGAAUGAUAUGCAGAGGAAGUAUUGCUGCUUCUCACAGCGGACCAUUCAGAACCUCAUGGACACUUUUCUUUUGAUUAUUUUCUUGUGGAAUUAUUUUUUUUUAUUAAUUUAAUUAUUUUUAUUGCAGUAACAUUGGUUUAUAACACUAUAUAAAUUUUGGGUGUACAUCAUUAUAUUCCGAUUUCUAUGUAGAUUACAUCAUGUUCACCACCCAAAGACUAAUUGCAAUCCAUCACCACACACACGUGUCUAAUCACCCCUUUUGUCCUUCUCCCUCUAAGACCGAUGUCAAAGAGUGUACAGCCUAUACUUUCUUCUAGGAGUUUUAUGGUUUCAGGUCUUACCAUCAAGUCUUCGAUCCAUUUUGAGUUAAUUUUUGUGUAUAGCCAAAGAUAAUGGUCUGCUUUCAUUCUUUUGUAUGUGGCUGUCCAGUUUUCCCAACAUCAUUUAUUGAAGAGACUUUCCUUUCUCCAUUGUAUUUUCUUAGCUCCUUUGUCAAAGAUUAGCUGUCUAUAGAUGUGUGGUUUUAUUUCUGGGCAUCCAAUUCUGUUCCAUUGAUCUGUGUGCCUGUUUUUGUAACAGUACAAUGCUGUUUUGAUUACUAUGGCUUUGCAGGAUAUUUUGAAGUCAGAGAUUGUGAUCCCUCCAGCUUCGUUCUUUUUUCUCAGGAUUGCUUUAGCUGUUUGGGGUCUUUUAUGGCCCCAUGUGAAUUUUAGGAUCCUUUGUUCUAUUUCUGUGAAAAACGUCAUUGGGAUUCUGAUUUGGAUUGCAUUGAGUCUGUAGGUUGCUUUAGGUAGUAUGGGCAUUUUAACUAUAUUUAUUCUUCCAAUCCAUGUGCAUGGAAUAUCUUUCCAUUUCUUUAUGUCCUCGUUGAUUUCUGUCAAUAAUGUCUUGUAGUUUUCAGUGUAUAGGUCUUUCACCUUCUUGGUUAAAUUUAUUCCUAGAUAUUUUAUUCUUUUCAUUGCAGUUGUAAAAGGGAGUGUAUUCUUUUUGUGUGUGUGUGAGGAAGAUUAGCCCUGAGCUAACAUCCAUUGCCAAUCCUCUUCUUCUGUUUUUUUUUUUUUUUUGCUCAAGAAGAUUGGCCCUGAGCUAACAUCUGUGCCCAUCUUCCUCUAUUUUAUAUGUGGGAUGCCUGCUACCACAUGGCUUGAUAAGCAGUGUGUAGGUCCACACCUGGGAUCUGAACCUGAGAACCCCAGGCUGCUGAAGAGGAGCGCAUGAACUUAACCACUAUGCCACUGGGCCAGCCCCGGGAUUGUAUUCUUGAGUUCUCUUUCUUUAAGUUCCUUAUUAGAGUAUAGAAAUGCAACUUAUUUUUGCAAGCUGAGUUUGUACCCUGCAACUUGCUGUAGUUGUUGAUUAUUUCUAAUAGUUUUCUGAUGGAUUCUUUAGGGUUUUCUGUAUAUAAAAUCACGUCAUCUGCAAAUAGUGACAGUUUCACUUCUUCAUUGCCUAUUUGGACUCCUUUUAUUUGUUUUUCUUGCCUAAUUGCUCUGGCCAAAACCUCCAGGACUAUGUUGAAUAAGAGUGGUGAGAGUGGGCACCCUUGUCUUCUUUCUGUUCUCAGUGGGAUGUCUUUCAGUUUUCCCCCAUUAAGUAUGACGUUAUCUGUGAGUUUGUCAUAUAUGGCCUUUAUUA
rnacentral:lncRNA from 1 species